UAUUAUGGUGGGCUGGAUUGGGCAGCUUAGGCUGGCCGCUUCCGAUGCAGCGGUAGGACCAACCCAGUUCAGUCCGCCACCAAA
rfam:Vibrio azureus NBRC 104587 DNA, contig: VAZ01S017.